rnacentral:rRNA from 1 species
GGACAACCUGCCCUUAGGUUGGGUAUAAACCCGGGAAACUGGGUAUAAUACCCGAUAGGUCUCGAUUGCUGGAAUGCAUCGAGAUUUAAAGCUCCGGCGCCUAAAGAUGGGUCUGCGGCCUAUCAGGUAGUAGUGGGUGUAGCGUACCUACUAGCCUACGACGGGUACGGGUUGUGAGAGCAAGAGCCCGGAGAUGGAUUCUGAGACACGAAUCCAGGCCCUACGGGGUGCAGCAGGCGCGAAAACUUUACAAUGCUGGCAACAGCGAUAAGGGAACCUCGAGUGCCAGGUUACAAAUCUGGCUGUCGAGAUGCCUAAAAAGCAUUUCAUAGCAAGGGCCGGGCAAGACCGGUGCCAGCCGCCGCGGUAACACCGGCGGCUCGAGUGGUAACCGUUAUUGUUGGGUCUAAAGGGUCUGUAGCCGGCCGGAUAAGUCUCUUGAGAAAUCUGGCAGCUUAACUGUCAGGCUUUCAGGAGAUACUGUCUGGCUCGAGGCCGGGAGAGGUGAGAGGUACUUCAGGGGUAGGGGUGAAAUCUUGUAAUCCUUGAAGGACCACCAGUGGCGAAGGCGUCUCACCAGAACGGACCUGACGGCAAGGGACGAAAGCUAGGGGCACGAACCGGAUUAGAUACCCGGGUAGUCCUAGCCGUAAACGAUACUCGCUAGGUGUCGGCCACGGUGCGACCGUUGUCGGUGCCGUAGGGAAGCCGUGAAGCGAGCCACCUGGGAAGUACGGCCGCAAGGCUGAAACUUAA